CUGAAUAUAAGUACUGGAUCCUUUGUCCAUGUCAGUGACUUUGUCAGAAGUGUUGCAAGGGGAGAAUGACAGAAGGUGGGGAGGCUGUGUCUCCUCACACAGAAUAAAAUUGCAUUCAAUGUAUUUUUCUUUGCUAGGCAAUAAUUCCUACCUUGGUGGCCCAGUGGGUUCAUGGCAUUCCGGUGGGCUGCUGUCAUACCACAGGUGGCCCAGUGUGUUGCUGCGGCAGGCACACUCCCUUGUGGUUCCUAUAUCUGUGAUGGCAGCAGAGCGGAGGCUGGGAAAACGGUACCUGGGCUCUGACACUCAGUGUGCCUGAACCACGAGGGAGUGUGCCAGCCCUGGCAACACACUGGACCACCAGAGAGGCAAUUAGCAAGUCCUUGCAUGGAGG